rnacentral:rRNA from 1 species
GCAGAACGCGAAGAACCUUACCAAGGCUUGACAUGGAUUUCUAAGCACGUGAAAGCGUGUGACCCUUCGGGGGACUUCCACAGGUGCUGCAUGGCCGUCGUCAGCUCGUGUCGUGAGAUGUUGGGUUAAGUCCCGCAACGAGCGCAACCCUUGUGAACAGUUGCCAGCGCGUCAUGGCGGGAACUCUGUUCAGACUGCCCAGAUCAACUGGGAGGAAGGUGGGGACGACGUCAGGUCAGUAUGGCCCUUACGCCUUGGGCUGCACACGUACUACAAUGCCCAGCACAAUGAGAACCGAUGCCGCGAGGUGGAGGAAAUCUGCAAAACUGGGCUCAGUUCGGAUUGGAGGCUGCAACUCGCCUCCAUGAAGUUGGAAUCGCUAGUAAUGGCACAUCAGCUACGGUGCCGUGAAUACGUUCCCGGGUCUUGUACACACCG